GAGCAAACAGGAUAACUCCUCCGAACUCGGGCACGAAGCGCUCGCGGCCUAUCGCUUCUUCCUCUGGAUCUCGAUCUAUUUCGCCCGACGAAGAAGUCCCUCAUUGUCUCUAUCUUUGUUUGGAUCGAUCACCGUUGAGUGGAGGAGACAUGGCGGAGCAACUCACCGAUGAGCAGAUCGCGGAGUUCAAGGAGGCCUUCAGCUUGUUCGACAAGGAUGGCGAUGAUUGCUGGAUUUCUCCGAUGAGGCAGACACGUGAAGAGAGUGGUCCAUGAGCUUAAUUGUUGAUAACUGGAAGCAGUAGUUUUCUGCUCUCUUUAUGAUUGAUUGUGUCCUUGUUUGUUGUCCACUCCGUGUGAUCCAUUGGCUUCCUGUUUCGAGAGCAUCUCUUAAAAGACUUCUUGAUUCUUUGGUAGGUUUUGGUUUUAGACAUCUAUUGCAUACCUCCUGUAAUUUUUGUUUGGGAUUAUAGUUCAAAGUGGAAAAAAGAAACUAAUAGGUAAUGGAAACCAUUUGCUUAUUCUGGACCACUCUGUAUCCAAUGGAAACAAUUUGCAUUCUCAGGGCUUAACCUUGCUUUUCAGUUGUGUACCUCAAGAUAGAUACACUUCUGAUGGAUGAGGAGUUCGACGAGAUGAUCCUCUAGGCCAAUGUUGAUGGUGAUGGCCAGAUUAAUUACGAGGAAUUUGUGAAGGUCAUGAUGGCAAACAGGUGUGCCCUUGAAACAAUGAAGAUGUCCUGUUGCUUGUCUCCAUGCCCAUAUACUAUCAAAUACAAGCAAUUCUUAUCUCAGAUCAUGGCUCCUGAGUUCUAAGACAUACUCAGUAAAACAAGGCACCUUGAAUUACUUGCUCAGGUCUCACUAUCCUCUGUAUGACUCUGUGAUGCUUCAGAAGACUCUGACCACCACCACAUUAUGAGAGCACCCAGAUUGUUUAUCUGUUCAUCCUUGGAUUGCCUCAGGUUUCUCCUAGCAUAGCAUGCAACAUGAAGCGCUGCACUAAGCCUUUGAAUGUAUGCGAAGUGCAGUCAUGUCUUUAGGUGCUCGGAGGUGUUCUAAGACUGGAAGGAUGUCUGUCAUGUUAGGCCUGUUCUUGGGAUCUACAUGGAGGCACUGCAAGGCAAGAGCAGCAAUUGUCUGGGCUUCCUUUUUCGAGUAUCGACCCUCCAGUCUUGUGUCCAUGAUCCUCAACAGCUUCCUUUUGUCGUUCAGAAAUGGCUUUGCCCAGUCUACCAGAGCCUCUUCUGUGGAUCCCCUAUCUUCAUCCACUGCUCGCCUUCCUGAUAACAGUUCUAACAACACGACUCCCAGGCUGUAUAUGUCACUCUUCACACUCAAGUGACCUGCCAUAUAAAUAUUUUACAGGAUCUGAUGGCAGAGUUAAAGAAGGUGGCAAGAACUGCUUAUCGUCAAAGAGAAGCAGGCAGGUUGGGGAGUGCUUCGAACAUGGGCUUCACACCUGCUGUACCUGGAAGCAUUGCUACCCUGCGCAACUUCUCCCAGUAUAUAAGAUUACAUGUAACUCUAUAUCAGGUCUGCCCACAAUCGUAAGUAUCAUCUACCACUCUCCCCCUCCCACCUUUGUCGCCUCUACUUCAACUUUUUCUUCUUGCAGUUUUCAUUUCAUAACUGAUGAAAAGAUUGCAGAAGAAGAAGAGGCAAACAAGCAAACUGAAAGCAAGCAGGGAGCAAAAAAAGCAGCAGGCAACGAGAACACAUAUCUAAAGAAGCAUUCCUCACUUGAAACACUAGGAGAAGAGGCGUUUGCGCAUUUAGCAGAACCCCCGCAGAAGUUCCCCAUGAAAGAACAGUCACCAAGCCCUCGUCAGAUGCACUGAUCAUAGCUAACCACAUGCGUAUAAACAAAGGUGGGAAGGAUAAGGAUGAAGAAUGUCGUCUCCCACGGCAGAGCUUGGUCACCCGUCUGAUUGAGACGAUCGAAAUUUCCAUUCUCUUGACCGGUUCAAGGCAGCCACGUGGUGAUUUAUGAGUUUGGGAUAUUGACAUGCGUGCAACAGGUUAAGCAUCAGGUCAACGACUUUGUCGGAUCUCAGCCGCCGGAAUGGAGCACAUAACAAAGGUUGUGCUAUUAAUUUCAUAUAAUAGUUGGUGGAUUUGAUCUUACGCUGGAAAAGAUUGCGACUAGACGAUAUCUUCUUCUUGUGUGACUGUAAGGACCCCUCCAAAAAAAAAAAGUCUAAGAAAAGGUGGGACAAUGAGAAAGGACUAAAGCUCAAAUUUCUGCCGUGGUGGACCCGAUUAAAAGUUGGGAGUCACUGGCUCUCGGUCAUCAUGAAAUCAUUGGGAUGUCAUAUGCCACAUUUUAGAUGAACUUGUUCUCCAAGGGGACAAUUUUUAGAGGUUUGAAGUCCAUUCUUCCAAGCUAUGCGCAUAUGCCUCGUUUGAAGCAUUGAUAUCAGCCUUUGGACUUAAAUAGCAUCAUGAAUUGUUAUUUAGGAAGUGAAUAAAAUGUUAUUGAUUUCAUCACAAAGCCAAAAAAAUCUUAGGGAGACUUGGAAAGGGUAGAUCAUGUGUUAUUUUUCCUUGCUACUAAAAAGGAGUUCCUUGUGCUUUACAUGCAGCUUAGAAAAGAUGGAUUUUCAGCAGAUGAACCAUCUAAGAUCCUGGUAUGCUAUUUCUUUGUUGCCUUCGACUCCUAACAAAUGCAAGUUUGACUUCAUUUUAUCCCUGGUGAAACAGUACUCCAAACAGCUGAGAGAUCAUAGCCACUAGCACAACAUUUCACAUCAGAUUCUCCAAGUCAGCCCCACGCAACAAAGUCAAUUCUUGUCUUUGCCUCAUUAUGAAGGCAAUUAUAUGCAGAGAAGGAAAACAAAAGUGGCCACCGACAAAUAUUAUUCAACGCAUUGUACGACUCUGCCAGCAUUUUCUAAUUAAUGGCGGAAUUAGGCGCAUCGCUUGCUAUAGAAGACAAAGGUUGAGAUUGAGACUGCACCAAAGGGAAUCUAAGAGACAGCUUUUUUCCUCAUGCUUGUCCAUGAUGAUUGCUACUGAAACCUAAACUUCCCGCACCUCGAGUUCUUCAUGGAUCGCAUGCCAGAAGGAAACAGGGAUAGCAUGAGAACUGAGAGGAGUUGGAAGAUCCAAGGCCUGAGCACCAGAGAAAUCAUUGGGCCGCCCGAUGAGUGAGCUGAUACAUGCGUACAAAAUCAUAUGCUAAGUAAACAAGACACAUUAGCAUCACAUAAGAGAGCUCCUUCUGUCUUGACUCGAACCGUCGUUGCCAUGUGUGUGCAUUUCUCAUAUGUUUAGGAGCUCCUGAGCUACUUAACCUCGUGAACAGUACUCACUAUAUAUCACCAGUCUUGUAGACAUGGCGACGUCGAUUUCCAUGGUGCUUUCUUUUACCCUAUGCUUGCUCCUCCUAUAUCAUGCCUUUGGCUCCCAAUUUGGCUUCGAACAAAGAGCAGGGCAACCGUUCGGAAGCCGCAGUCUACGCUAAAGCCCAGUCAACAAAGUCGACGACGGUUCGAGUCAACACAGAAGAGAGCUCUCUACCACACCCCCGGUUGAGGUCGUCGCUCCUUGUUACCCUCCUAAUGGCAAUUCUAACUCGGCGUUUACUCCUCGACAACGUUCAGGAAAGACGAAGGAGAAGCCAAGCGUCUCAACUCCGGCGGAACCGCCGGCACCUCCGCCUCCUCCAGUCGAAGACGGCGGCAAGCGGACCGGUCGCCGCCUUUUAAUGCCAACUGAUAGACAUCAAAACGACCAAUGAAUCUAUAAGCAAAUUUAACUU